rnacentral:lncRNA from 1 species
UUAAGUAGUUAUAAGGACUCAGGGUAUCUUUCCAUAAGAGAAGUAGAAAGGAAUAGAAUGGAAUACUUUGUCCUUCUUUGAACUGAAGCUAUGUGAGACAAAGGAUGAAAGGGUAUAAUUUUGGGGUACUUGAUCUACACUGUUAAAGUUUCAGAGCUAAACAUAUUUUAGAAAUGAUCUCCUGGAUUUUCCAGCCAGGUCCACUUUUCUCUCAAGGCCUCCCUUCCACUUUAGAGAGGAAGUUGAGGGUAUUGAAUGGAGCUUGAACAUGUAAUUCCUUUAGAUCCUUUGCCAGUACCCCAUCCUCAUCUUGACACAAAGUACAUGGUAAACAUCCACAGCUUACACAAUGGAAGAGUCCCUUUGAAGCAGAUCAACCAUAGGGAAAAUAUCUCCAUACACUUAGCCAAUGCAGAGCUGACUGCAGACUUCACUUGGGUGUGUGAGCUUCCCUGGAGAGCUUCCUACUCCAGGAAGCUGCUGCUUUCCUUUUCUAACCCUCUCGUAUAGGUGUUUCUGGGUAUUUUUUGCUUUCAAGAAAUACUUUCGAAAAGUGACUGAACGGAGAAGGAUGAUGAAAGAGAAAAAAAUCACUAUUUUAGAGCAACUAUUGUAAUCAAUACGUGGUGCAGGCAAGAGGGAUCAGUUGGUGCUAAAAGCAGUAAGUGAAAGAUUGUUGGGGAGUAGAAUAGCCUCAAAGUGUGACCACUUGGAAAGCCUCACUGCAAAGGGAAGAGAUACCUUGACAAUGAAGAAUACCUUAAAUAAGCAACAGAUCAUCAUGAGCACAGGAGCAAACUGAUGUCGUUAGACCCUCUGGUUCAUUCCCUGCACAUCACGUAAGCAAUAUUCCUGCCUGCAGUUCUUAACCUGAAUUGAAUCAGGAGGAAACAAUGGAACAAACCCCCAAAUGAACACUUGUACUGGUGAGAAGUGACAGUCCUCAUAGACCAGAAAGGGUGGGGGCACUGAUUGUUAUUUAAAGGAAAAUAAAGAGAUGUGACAUCUAAAUGUAGCCUGUGAUCCUAGACUGAUAUCUUAGAUGGCGGGAACAGCUAUGAAGGGUAUAGAUUGGGUCAUUUGGGGAAAAUUGAAAAUGGGCUAUAUGUUAGAUCAUUACAUUGAAUCAGCAAUACAAUCUCCAAAGUGUGAUAAUUGAGCUGUAAAAAAAAAAAGUCUUUGUUCAUAGAAUAUUCACAGUGAAUUAUUUAUAACUAAAUUGACAUGAUUUUUGCUACUAACUUCCAGAUGGUCCAUAUAAGAGUUAUAUAAAAAUGUAUUUGAUGGUAUUUAUUAUUGUAUAAUUAAUAAAAAUAUAUACACAAUAUUUCGAAUGUAGCAUAUUAAGUAUAUUGCAUAUAUUUGCAUCUUUCAGAUGCAUGCUUGUGUAUAUGCAUAAAACAAAUCUGGCUCAUGUUGACUGGUGAGUGUUGAUGGAGGGCGUCUUUGUUGUAUAAUUAUGAGACAUUUCUAGAGGUUUGGAAAAUUCCAAACUAAAAUGUUGGGAAAAAACUUUGGAACUAAAGAUGAGUUGGUGGACAAAAUUUUGAGCUGUUCGAUUCAGGUUUAUGACAAAAUAGUUUUUUAUUGCUAUCUGAAUAAAGCAAAGUUAAAUGAUGCAGACUCUUAAAAUUAGUAUUUGCCAACAAACCUUGAAGUGAGAUUAAUUCAGAUAGUCCAGAAUCAAGUAUUUUUAGAGUAUAGAGAAAUAGCUGUUGGACAUCUUCUUUUUCUUCUUUUGUUGUGCGUCCUGAGCCCACAGGAUUGUUGUAAGAAUGAACGAGAUAAUGUAUGUGAAAAUCCUUUUGUAAGCUGUGAAAAUAAUGUCUCUAAGCCUCUUUGUGUUUAGGAUGUAACUGGUGCUGAAUUAUAAUACCCAAGGUUGUAUUUUAUCUCUAUAUGGAACAUACAUUCAUAGGACAAGCUUAAUUAGUGGCUUUAUUAUGAAUCAUUCCAUACAUAUGUGAUUUACAAAAAUAAAUCUGCCUCCGUUUAGAUGAGAUUAAUAUAGUGUUUCCUAUAGCUUUUCUAGAACAGCAUCUAAACACAUAUAACAAGGAUUUUUCUUCUUCAGUAACAAAACAAAACUUCAGUGGC